UACAGAGGUCUCAAGCGUUGUUCGGAUUCAUUGGGCGUAAAGGGUGCGUAGGUGGCGCGCUAAGUCAGGUGUGAAAUUUCGGAGCUUAACUCCGGAACUGCAUUUGAUACUGGCGUGCUUGAGGACUGGAGAGGAGACUGGAAUUCACGGUGUAGCAGUGAAAUGCGUAGAGAUCGUGAGGAAGACCAGUGGCGAAGGCGGGUCUCUGGACAGUUCCUGACACUGAGGCACGAAGGCCAGGGGAGCAAACGGG
rnacentral:rRNA from 1 species